rnacentral:misc_RNA from 1 species
GAUGAAGAACGUAGCGAAAUGCGAUACGUAAUGUGAAUUGCAGAAUUCAGUGAAUCAUCGAAUCUUUGAACGCAUAUUGCGCUCUCUGGUAUUCCGGAGAGCAUGCUUGUUUGAGUAUCAGUAAACACCUCAACUUCCAUAUCUUUUUUGAAAUGGGAGUUGGACUUGAGUGAUCCCAACGCUUUUCCUCACCGAAAAGUGGCGGGUUACUUGAAAUGCAGGUGCAGCUGGACUUUUCUCUGAGCUAUAAGCAUAUCUAUUUAGUCUGCCUAAAAAACAGAUUAUUACCUUUGCUGCAGCUAACAUAAAGGAGAUUAGUUCUUGUGCUGACUGAUGCAGGAUUCACAAAGACAGGCUUCGGCCGACUUUGUAAACUCGAUCUCAAAUCAAGUAAGACUACCCGCUGAACUUAAGCAUAUCAAUAAGGGAGGA